CCAUUUAAAGAGUGCGUAAUAGCUCACUGGUCGAGUGACUCUGCGCCGAAAAUGUACCGGGGCUAAACGUAUCACCGAAGCUGUGGAUUGACAUCUUUGAUGUCAGUGGUAGGAGAGCGUUCUAAGUGCAGCGAAGUCAGACCGUAAGGACUGGUGGAGCGCUUAGAAGUGAGAAUGCCGGUAUGAGUAGCGAAAGACAAGUGAGAAUCUUGUCCACCGAAUGCCUAAGGUUUCCUGAGGAAGGCUCGUCCGCUCAGGGUUAGUCGGGACCUAAGCCGAGGCUGAAAAGCGUAGGCGAUGGCCAACAGGUUGAUAUUCCUGUACCACCUCCCCGCCGUUUGAGUAAUGGGGGGACGCAGUAGGAUAGGGUAAGCGCGCUGCUGGAUAUGCGCGUUCAAGCAGUUAGGCUGAUGAGUAGGCAAAUCCGCUCAUCAUAAAGGCUGAGCUGUGAUGACGAGGGAAUUAUAGUACCGAAGUUCCUGAUUCCACACUGCCAAGAAAAGCCUCUAGCGAGGCGGGAGGUGCCCGUACCGCAAACCGACACAGGUAGGCGAGGAGAGAAUCCUAAGGUGAUCGAGAGAACUCUCGUUAAGGAACUCGGCAAAAUGACCCCGUAACUUCGGGAGAAGGGGUGCUCUGGUAGGGUGUAUAGCCCGAGAGAGCCGCAGUGAAUAGGCCCAGGCGACUGUUUAGCAAAAACACAGGUCUCUGCGAAGCCGCAAGGCGAAGUAUAGGGGCUGACGCCUGCCCGGUGCUGGAAGGUUAAGAGGAGGGGUUAUCCUUUGGGAGAAGCUCUGAAUCGAAGCCCCAGUAAACGGCGGCCGUAACUAUAACGGUCCUAAGGUAGCGAAAUUCCUUGUCGGGUAAGUUCCGACCCGCACGAAAGGCGUAACGAUCUGGGCACUGUCUCAACGAGAGACUCGGUGAAAUUAUAGUACCUGUGAAGAUGCAGGUUACCCGCGACAGGACGGAAAGACCCCGUGGAGCUUUACUGUAGCCUGAUAUUGAAUUUUGGUACAGCUUGUACAGGAUAGGUAGGAGCCUGAGAAGCCGGAGCGCUAGCUUCGGUGGAGGCGUCGGUGGGAUACUACCCUGGCUGUAUUGAAAUUCUAACCCGCGGCCCUUAUCGGGCCGGGAGACAGUGUCAGGUGGGCAGUUUGACUGGGGCGGUCGCCUCCUAAAAUGUAACGGAGGCGCCCAAAGGUUCCCUCAGAAUGGUUGGAAAUCAUUCGUAGAGUGUAAAGGCACAAGGGAGCUUGACUGCGAGACCUACAAGUCGAGCAGGGACGAAAGUCGGGCUUAGUGAUCCGGUGGUUCCGCAUGGAAGGGCCAUCGCUCAACGGAUAAAAGCUACCCCGGGGAUAACAGGCUUAUCUCCCCCAAGAGUCCACAUCGACGGGGAGGUUUGGCACCUCGAUGUCGGCUCAUCGCAUCCUGGGGCUGUAGUCGGUCCCAAGGGUUGGGCUGUUCGCCCAUUAAAGCGGUACGCGAGCUGGGUUCAGAACGUCGUGAGACAGUUCGGUCCCUAUCCGUCGUGGGCGUAGGAAAUUUGAGAGGAGCUGUCCUUAGUACGAGAGGACCGGGAUGGACACACCGCUGGUGUACCAGUUGUCUUGCCAAAGGCAUCGCUGGGUAGCUAUGUGUGGAMGGGAUAAGUGCUGAAAGCAUCUAAGCAUGAAGCCCCCCUCAAGAUGAGAUUUCCCAUAGCGCAAGCUAGUAAGAUCCCUGAAAGAUGAUCAGGUUGAUAGGUCAGAGGUGGAAGCGUGGCGACAUGUGUAGCUGACUGAUACUAAUCGAUCGAGGACUUAACCAAA
rnacentral:rRNA from 2 species